AUCCAGAUAACGUCGUUCAAAGUUGGGAUCCCACGCUUGUUAAGCCCUGCACUUGGUUCCACAUCACUUGCAAUCAAGACAGUCCAUUUUUGGUAAGGGAUUUAGGUAAUUCAAAUCUGUCUGGACAUCUAGUUCAGGCGGUAAUAUGGCUCACCAUGUUGCGGUUAGGGCAGCCGAAGCUGUAGCAGAAACUGAACCCAAGAUUGAAGUACUGGAGAAUAUUCUACUCCGCCCAAUGUUUGGCGGAGAAAAGAGAACUGAAUCAGAGAAUAGAUUGGAUGGCAAAUACACAUUAACAAGAACUCGUUUCAUUAGUUUUUAUAAGAAUCUCAUUAUUUAUUUUCCGGCUGCUGAUGUUCUGAUGCUCUUGGUGCUGCUUUGGAGUGGUGUUGGGUGCUGCUGGGUUUUUUUUUGUGUUGGCUGCUGGGUUCUUUGCUUAUCCUUUGUGUAGUUGCUGCUGGUGUUUUUUUCCUGGUUUUAUUUGCUUUGUUUUGCUCUGUUUUGGCUCCCCUUGCUUUGAUCUGCUUUGGGUUGAGUUACUUGUAAAGGGUUGAGUCUGGUACAAAUGAGGAUGGCAGUACUUGGUACAGAGAAAGUGGGAAGGACUUGGGCGAGACUGGAUUUCACAACAGAACAGUGUUCAGUCUUUGCGAUUGAAAUCAGUGGAUGACAAUAAUAAACCUUCACACCUCCAUUUUCCAUCCAUGUUGAGUCACACAAUGCUGUUAAACUUGUAUUUGGUCAGAAUGAUCAAUCGACUUGACAUAGAAAAACUUUGCCAAAAUCUCAGAGUCCUUAUAUUGUCAGGGUCUCAUGUAUCAGAAUACCCAAU